AGUGAACGCUGGCGGCGUGCUUAACACAUGCAAGUCGAACGAGAACGGGUUAUAGCUUGCUAUAAUUGUCAGCUAAGUGGCGCACGGGUGAGUAAUGUAUAGGUAAUAUGCCUCUUACUAAGGGAUAACAAAUGGAAACGUUUGCUAAUACCUUAUACUCCUUAUUAACAGAAGUUAAUAAGGGAAAGAUUUAUAGGUAAGAGAUUAGCCUGUAUUGUAUCAGUUAGUUGGUGGGGUAAUGGCUUACCAAGACUAUGACACAUAACUGGUUUGAGAGGAUGAUCAGUCACACUGGAACUGAGACACGGUCCAGACUUCUACGGGAGGCAGCAGUGGGGAAUAUUGCACAAUGGACGAAAGUCUGACGCAGCAACGCCGCGUGGAGGAUGGCACAUUUCGGUGCGUAAACUCCUUUUAUAUGAGAAGAUAAUGACGGUAUUAUAUGAAUAAGCACCGGCUAACUCCGUGCCAGCAGCCGCCGUAA
rnacentral:rRNA from 1 species